UGAAUACGAGGCGCUAAGGCGUCGAAGUAGUGUAUGUCAUACUUCCAAGAAAAGCUUGCACUGUCAUAGAUAAAAAACGCCUGUACCAUAACCGACACAGGUGGGUAGGUAGAGUAUACUAAGGGGCGCGAGAUAACUCUCUCUAAGGAACUCGGCAAAAUAACUCCGUAACUUCGGGAGAAGGAGUGCCUUAUUAUUAAGGUUGCAAUAACAAGAUCCAAGCAACUGUUUAUCAAAAACACAGGUCUCCGCUAAGUCGUAAGACGAUGUAUGGGGGCUGACGCCUGCCCAGUCCCAGAAGGUUAAAGAAGCUGGUUAGCAAUCGCGAAGCUAGUAACUGAAGCCCUGGUGAACGGCGGCCGUAACAAUAACGGUCCUAAGGUAGCGAAAUUCCUUGUCGGGUAAGUUCCGACCCGCACGAAAGGCGUAAUGAUUUGGAUACUGUCUCGGAGAGGGGCUCGGUGAAAUAGACUUGUCUGUGAAGAUGCGGACUACCUGCACCAGGACAGAAAGACCCUAUGAAGCUUUACUGUAACUUGAAAUUGAAAUUGGACUUUAUUCGCGCAGUAUAGGUGGGAGGCGUUGAUUAUAAUCUUGCGGGAUUAUUGGAGCCAUUAGUGAGAUACCACUCUUGUAAUGUUAGAUUUCUAACUUUGAAUCAUUAUCUGGUCAAAGAACAGUUUCAGGCGGGCAGUUUGACUGGGGCGGUCGCCUCCUAAACGGUAACGGAGGCGUACAAAGGUUUCCUCUGAACGGUUAGAAAUCGUAUCUAGAGUGUAAAGGCAUAAGGACCUUGACUGUGAGACCUACAAGUCGAGCAGGGACGAAAGUCAGUCUUAGUGAUCUGACGGUACUGAGUGGAAAGGCCGUCACUCAACGGAUAAAAGUUACUCUAGGGAUAACAGGCUGAUCUCCCCCAAGAGUUCACAUCGACGGGGAGGUUUGGCACCUCGAUGUCGGCUCAUCGCAUCCUGGGGCGGUAGUACGUCCCAAGGGUUGGGCUGUUCGCCCAUGAAAGCGGUACGCGAGCUGGGUUCAGAACGUCGUGAGACAGUUCGCUCCAUAUCCGGUGUAGGCGUUAGAAUAUUGAGAGGAGCCUUCUUUAGUACGAGAGGACCGAGAAGGACAUACCUCUGGUGUACCAGUUAUCGUGCCAACGGUAGACGCUGGGUAGCUAUGUAUGGAGUGGAUAACCGCUGAAAGCAUCUAAGUGGGAAGCCCACCUCAAGAUAAGUAUUCCC
rnacentral:rRNA from 1 species